UGUCCACUUAAGCCUCAUGGUUUUAUAGAUGAUCUUUGUCUACAGAUAUGUUGGUUUUUGAUGUUCACAAAAAAUGAUGUGUUAUGAUUGCACAGGCACUUUGUUUCAGUAGAGGAGCUGCAGAGGAGAUGCUCUGCACCAGAGAAAUUCUCUGGUCACCUCAUGGUGACUUAUUUGAGGAAGGCAAAGGGGGAAAAAAGGAGCUUGUGAGGGAAUUGAAAGAGGCAGAGGUGCAUCUGAGUCCGUAUGGCUCAAACACUAAAAUGUGCACCAAACUAGUUGAAGAGGAGUGCCAAGGUCUUGCUAAAGACCUAGGAUAUUUGACCAAGGAAAUACCCUUCAAAAUCAUAGGCAAGCAGCUGGCCGAGUGAGGCUUCAGAAGAGAGGAUCAUGACUUGUGUGCUGAACUCGAUAUAAUCGAACAAGUGUUGGGUGAAAACAUGGACAUGUAUUCAAAGGUCACACACACACUUGGACCCCAAGUAUGCCAGGUUGUGUUUCAGAUCAUCAGAGAGUGCCUUGUUGCAAAAGCAAGGGCUCUAGAAAAUUGAAUUUUGACACUAUUACACUGCAGUUGACUGUUCACUGUACUGUACUAUUCAUUG